CUUGAUGGAACCGAGCCACAACGGGCGCCCCUCCGGCCGUUCCCGCCCGUAGGUGGCCAGCAGCGCCUGCGCUUC
rnacentral:antisense_RNA from 1 species